UUAUCUACGUAAAAUGUAGAUCGACGCUAUAUCAUUUAAUUUCACAAAAUUAAAUGUCUCGUCACAUUUAUUCUUUGGUCAAAACCAUUGACCGAGCAUAUUUAAUCCAUGAUUUUUACACUAAAGUCCACUAAAAUGUAGAUAUAUCCAGAGAGUAUAGAGAGAGUAUAAACUAUACAUAAAAAAACUAAACAAUGGUGCUGCCAAAGAUCUUUAAUGACUAAUGCAUAUAGAAUAUAAGAUUCAUGUAUAGAUGAUAUUAGAGGAAUGUAUAGAAGAAUUACACUAAACUAAACUAAACUAAACUAAACUGCAGAUACAUCAAAGAAUAUCCAGAGAGUAUAAACUAAAAUAACAAAACUAAGGAAUGGUGCUGCAAAGAGAACUGGAAUUAUGAUGGUAUGAAAAGAUGAAAGAUGAUUAUUAGAGAAAUCAGAGAGAAUGGAAUAGAUGAAAGAGUCAGAUACCAAAAGAAGAAUGGAAGUAUAUGAUGGAGUGAGGUAUAUUGCAGGGUGAGUAAAGAAGAAGUAGAAGAGAGUAUUUAUAGGAGUUCAUUUGCAUAAAGCAGUAGAAUAAAAAGAAAUUAGCUUUGGAAAACAAACAUAAUCAUUGGUAAGACCUUUCAAAUAACAAAUAAUAAAAAAUAAAAGAUAACACAAAGAAUUAACUAAAAAAUAUGCAAAAUCGAAUAAAAAAACAAUGCCCAUGUUCUGAAAUAGGUUAUUUAUUAGAACUGAUAUAUAGGAAUAUAAAUAAUGUGAGUUUCCAUGCAUUGUGUAUUAAAUACAGAUCUCAUUAAUUGAGCCUACUGACAGCCCUAUUAAUGACUAAUAUAUUGUGUUCCCUUAUUGAUAUUUGCCCUAUUUUGCUGGAAUAAGAACAAUAAAUAGAAGAAAACAUAAUGAGAUAACAGCCGCCCCACAUUUUCGAGGUAGAGGAGAGAGAAAUAUAGCUACAAUAAAUACAAAAAGAGACCUAGAGGAUGCACGCCUAUAAACCUCUUCAAAUCUGCAACCUAAAUCAGAAUAUGUAAAAACCUCUUCAAAUCUGCAACCUAAAUCAGAAUAUGUCAAAAAUAAGAGGAAGAAGAAAGGAUACAAAAUACAUCUCAUAUGGAAAGAGAAUGAGAGAGAAUAAAAGAAGCAAUCAUUACAGAAAGAUGGCACAAAGGGUGUUGCACGCCUGAUACCUCUUUGAUUCUACUCUCUAAAAAGUAAAUAAUAGAAGAGGAAGAAGGCAUUACUAUGAAAUGAACCAAGAGAAGUAUUAUACAAAAUCCUAUCAGAAUUAUUCCAAUAGAAAAGGAUAUAUAUUCAAGAACAAUUGCAAGACCAAUGAAGGAUUUUACAAACUAAUAUCAGAAUUUGUCCAAAAAAAUGUAUUAUUCUUAUUUAUUAAUAUACACAGUUAUGCUCAAAAUUAGAUGUUUUAAAAAUGAUAAGAUUAUAAUAGAAUCAUUGGUAAAAUAUUGAAUUCAAGGUCUAAGUUCUUAAAUGAUUUGAUUUAUAUAUCCAGCUAUAAUAUGAAGGAUUACAUUAAUUGAUA